GUAGUCAUAUGCUUGUCUCAAAGAUUAAGCCAUGCAUGUCUAAGUAUAAACUGCUUUAUACUGUGAAACUGCGAAUGGCUCAUUAAAUCAGUUAUAGUUUAUUUGAUGGUACCUACUUACUCGGAUACCCGUAGUAAUUCUAGAGCUAAUACGUGCGUACAUCCCGACUUCUGGAAGGGACGUAUUUAUUAGAUAAAAGGCCGACCGGGCUUGCCCGACUCGCGGUGACUCAUGAUAACUUCACGAAUCGCAUGGCCUCGCGCCGGCGAUGUUUCAUUCAAAUUUCUGCCCUAUCAACUUUUGAUGGUAGGAUAGAGGCCUACCAUGGUGGUAACGGGUGACGGAGAAUUAGGGUUCGAUUCCGGAG
rnacentral:rRNA from 1 species